rnacentral:tRNA from 1 species
GAGGGUGUAGCUCAAGUGGUAGAGAGCAUGCUUAGCAUGCACGAGGUUCUGGGUUCAAUCCCUGGCAUCUCCU